AACCACUGCCCCUAUAACAUCAACAACAGAACACACAACAACAACAGAACAAUCACCUACAAUUAUAAUUGAAGUGACAACAGUUUAUUUUACGAUUUCCAGCCCUGAUAAUUUCACGAGUGACUUGUAUAAUUCAUCUUCACCAGCAUAUAUUGACAGAGUAAAGAAAACCAAAGAGCUUGACCCAGUCUUUAAACAGAAAUAUAACCAGACAUACGUUGAUAUGCAAGUUAUAGGAUUCCAUCCUGGAUCAACCCUCACUGAUAUAGGUGUAACAUUUACAACUGCACCCGCUAAUGAGGACAUAAUCAGCACUAUCAAAUCUGCAACCCUGAGUUUUACUGUCACCAGAGCAGAGGUCACUCCAAACCCAGAAACAAUGAUGACCACACCUCCAGAUACAACUACUGCACCUGUUACAGAAACAACACAACAGACAAGUACAACUUUACUAACCUCUACAAGUCCUUUAACAUCUACUACAGAACAAACAACUACAACUACUGCCCCUGUUACAACAACAACUGAACACACAUCUACAACAGAACCA